GGACUAGUCUCCUUCGAUAACAAAUAUUUUGAUGCAUAUCCGCAAGUAAAACCUGGUUUUAUAGAAGCUAAUCUUUUUCUGCAAAGUUGGGUUGAGUAUUGCUGUAACAGCAACGAAAGUAAUGUCAGUCAAUUAGAGAAAGCUCGUCUGUAUGGAUUUAGAAUUAUUGAUUCUAUUUAAGGAUUAAGUAUCAGCAAUUAUUCAAUCAUAUGGUAUUAGAACAUUGUAUCACUUGAAUUUCUAUAGAACUUUAAUAAACUUUUUAACUGUAAGUUUUUGUCAUACUGCCAAGGUGUUGCCCCUCCUUUAUUUUCAGUUACAAGAAAAUCAAACUCAAUCGUAAAUAACUGUUACCCAAAAUAAACAAAACCGAUGUUCAUGGCCCGGGUUUGUUCAAAAUAAUUUCAGUAUUAAAACUACGAAAAUCCAU
rnacentral:lncRNA from 1 species